rnacentral:rRNA from 1 species
AUUGAACGCUGGCGGCAUGCCUAACACAUGCAAGUCGAACGGAGGUAGGGGCAACUCUACUUCAGUGGCGGACGGGUGAGGAAUGCGUCGGAAUCUACCCUAUGGUGGGGGAUAACACAGGGAAACUUGUGCUAAUACCGCAUAAUGUCGAGAGACCAAAGCAGGGGACCGCAAGGCCUUGCGCGAUAGGAUGAGCCGACGCCCGAUUAGCUAGUUGGUAGGGUAAAGGCCUACCAAGGCGACGAUCGGUAGCUGGUCUGAGAGGAUGAUCAGCCACACUGGGACUGAGACACGGCCCAGACUCCUACGGGAGGCAGCAGUGGGGAAUAUUGGACAAUGGGCGCAAGCCUGAUCCAGCAAUGCCGCGUGUGUGAAGAAGGCCUGGUGUAAGUACAUUUUGUAGUAAGUACGUAGUAGUACUACUAUCGAGUGAGACGAAACGAAUAAAGAAACGACAACGUACUACGUCACGCAGCGCGU